rnacentral:hammerhead_ribozyme from 1 species
GUCCAGCUGACGAGUCCCAAACAGGACGAAAUGCGCGUCCUAGAU